rnacentral:rRNA from 1 species
AUUGAACGCUGGCGGCAGGCCUAACACAUGCAAGUCGAACGAGUGGCGGACGGGUGAGUAAUGUCUGGGAAACUGCCCGAUGGAGGGGGAUAACUACUGGAAACGGUAGCUAAUACCGCAUACCAUCGGAUGUGCCCAGAUGGGAUUAGCUAGUAGGUGGGGUAACGGCUCACCUAGGCGACGAUCCCUAGCUGGUCUGAGAGGAUGACCAGCCACAAUGGGAAUGAGACACGGGUCAGACUCCCACGGGAGGCAGCAGGGGGGAAUAUUGCACAAUUGGCGCAAGCCUGAUGCAGCCAUGCCGCGUGUAUGAAGAAGGGCUUCGGGUUGGAAAGGACUUUCAGCGGGGAGGCGGUACCUGCAGAAGAAGCACCGGCCAACUCCGUGCCAGGCGCCGCGGGAAUAC